AUUGAACGCUGGCGGCAUGCCUUACACAUGCAAGUCGAACGGCAGCACGGGAGCUUGCUCCUGGUGGCGAGUGGCGAACGGGUGAGUAAUACAUCGGAACGUACCCUGAAGUGGGGGAUAACGUAGCGAAAGUUACGCUAAUACCGCAUAUUCUGUGAGCAGGAAAGAGGGGGAUCGCAAGACCUCUUGCUUUAGGAGCGGCCGAUGUCGGAUUAGCUAGUUGGUGAGGUAAAGGCUCACCAAGGCGACGAUCCGUAGCGGGUCUGAGAGGAUGAUCCGCCACACUGGGACUGAGACACGGCCCAGACUCCUACGGGAGGCAGCAGUGGGGAAUUUUGGACAAUGGGCGCAAGCCUGAUCCAGCCAUGCCGCGUGAGUGAAGAAGGCCUCGGGUUGUAAA
rnacentral:rRNA from 1 species